GCGCCGCAGGCCAAGGUAGAUGUAUGCCAGGCGCGUCGCAGCGUAACAGUGUUUCGUGAAAUUUCGCAAAGCCUGUUACGCGAGACGUGGUCUGGCGUACAUUUACCUUGUUCUUAAAUCAAGAAUGGCGUUCUCUGGGUAAGAGAUUAUUGGGACUGAUUCAAAAGAACGACGUUGUGGAAGGCGACGACACUUACAAAAUUAGACCAUACCUGAACAAGUCAAAACACGUCUUUAUGGUAUCAUUACACACCAAUGGCCAAGUAACUGUACGGAGUAGAGAUAGCGGUUGACGCAGAAUUUACAAUUGCUUUUAGUGAAAGAAUGUAAUUUUAAUCUGUCCUCUUUUUUCUUAACCAAUUGUAUCCAUCCAUUUGCGUACGCCGCGAUGACUACGGGCACCGCCACGGCGUACGCAGCUGUCCUUGAAGAACUGAAGGAGUUCGGACUCUGUCCUAAGGCAGUGGUAACAGACUAGGACGACGCCCAACGGGCUGGGUGGAAGAUGACAGUUCCAAGAAUUCAGACGUGGGGCUGCUAUUUCCACUUUCUGCGAGCCCUGUAGAGACAGGCGGAGGAGCAUGGGUUGGCCCAGUACAUGAGGGAUAGGACAGGAGGAGUGAGUCAACUUUUACGCAUGCUCGCAGCCAUACCCCGCCUUGAAAAUAAGUACAGAAGGGAGGCAUUCGACAUGAUCGUAAGACGGACAACUGACCUGAAAGACGCGACGGCCGACGAACCGACUAAACUACUACUAUUCCUGAACUACUUCAGGAAAGAAUGGAUUGACGGCAACAAGCCAGAGGCGUUAUCACUCCGCAAACGUCACGUGCAUCCGACGGGCGGGCAAGAGUCACUCCAUAGAAACUUUAACACCAUGCUCAAUAACUAUGGCCGUCCCAGUUGGAUGGAAAUUUUUAACGCUUACACGACGUAUGGAGGACGAGAAAUAUCACAAUCUUUCACACCACACUAGACUGGACACAAGACUGGGAAGGAGCAAUUCAACCACAGUGGACUACUUUUCGACCAGGACAUUAAAGACGCGUACACUGACUCCGAACUAAACGAAAACCUGAGUAGCUUCCUCACCUUGGCGGCAAAAAAAGUGCGCCAGCAUGUGGAAAUUUUUGAAGACUUCGGCGAUGAUUUGGAGCUUCCCGAGUAAGUAUAAUUGGCUGAGCGAUUAGCGAAGCCUAUUACUCCAGUGAUGAUCAAAGAGUUUCGGCUCUGUCUGUGUGUCUGUCUGUGCGCACGAUAACUCGAGAGCGAUCAGACGGUUCCGGCAGUGCCCGUUUACAGAAGAAUUCAGGAAAUCACCACCGGAAACAGUUCUGAAAUACAGGUUAAAACUAAUGCAAAUGAACCUUGACAGUUACUAGGGAGGGAGGUACUUGAGUUCAUUUGCGUCGAUCCGCAUUGUCAAAUAAGAAAAAUAGGCGAAAUUAAGUACUGGUUCCGGUGCCGAAUUCCUUACUUCUUCACGAAACGCGCACAGCCGGAUCCGUCUAUGAGCUAGCGACCUGGGAUUUUCAGGGUCGUUUUAUGUUAUAAAGAGACAGAUCGAGUUCGAAAAACAUUCUAGCUCAAAAGUUGGAUUAUUAAAAAAUGAAAAACCACAGGUUCCACAAGUAAUGUUUUUUUAAACAGAUUUUAUUAAGACGAUCCGCAUUGGGGCUUUUGUAGGGUCGUGUCAGAAAAGACGGACGACAACAACGCACAAGGCCGUUAAUAUCAGAACAAAAAGUGGUUACCACUAUAGUUCUAGAAAGCAAUAACGUAUUUACUUCGUAACAAUAAUUUUGUAUAAGAUUUUCUUUUAUUCGGAUCGUCUAUUUGUUAACACGGAGUGUUAACGAGAUUUGUUACCUCUCAUAAAUCUUUACAUUUUAAAAUACUAGGUAGAUGUACGCCA